rnacentral:rRNA from 1 species
GAUGAACGCUGGCGGCGUGCCUAAUACAUGCAAGUCGAGCGAACGGCCGAGAAGCUUGAUCCUCUGAUGUGAGCGGCGGACGGGUGAGUAACACGUGGAUAACCUACCUAUAAGAAUGGGAUAACGUAGGGAAACCGGAGCUAAUACAGGAUAAUAUUUUGAACCGCAUGGUUCAAAAGUGAAAGACGGUCUUGCGGUGCCUUACAGCUGGAUCCGCGCUGCAUUAGCUAGUGGGUAAGGUAACGGCUUACCAAGGCAACGGUGCAUAGCCGAGCUGGGAGGGUGAUCGACCCCACCGGAACUGGGCCACGGUCCAGACUCCUACGGGAGGCAGCCGUAGCGACUCUUCCGGACAGGAGGAGGGCCUAUCGGACAAAGGCGGCGUGAGUGAUGAAGGUCUUCUGUGCGUAAAACUCUGUUAUUAGGAAAGAACAUUUGUGUCAGUAACUGUGCACAAAUUGACGGUACCUAAUCAGAAAGCCACGGCUAACUACGUG